rnacentral:rRNA from 1 species
GGCUAACGCUGGCGGCGUGUCUUAGCCAUGCAAGUCGAGCGGACUUAUGGGGGUAACUUAUAAGUCAGCGGCGGACGGCGGAGUAACACGUAGCUAACCUACCCUCUGGACGGGGAUAACCUACCGAAAGGUGGGCUAAUACCCGAUGUAGUCAUCCUGUAUAGGGGUGAUGAAAGGUGGGCUUCUGUUUACAAGCUCAUGCUGGAGGAGGGGGCUGCGGCCUAUCAGGUAGUUGGUAGGGUAAUAGCCUACCAAGCCGAUGACGGGUAGCCGGCCUGAGAGGGUGACCGGCCCGAGGGGCACUGAGAUACGGGUCCCACUCCUACGGGAGGCAGCAGGCUAGAAAUUUGGGCAAUGGGGGAAACCCUGACCCAGUGACGCCGCGUGCAGGAAGGAGCCUUCGGGGUGUAAACUGCUGUCGUGUAGGGAGAAGGGUACUAAGGUGAACAAUCUUAGUACUUGACGGUACUACAGGAGGAAGCCCAGGCUAACCUCAUGCCAGCAGCCGCGGUAAGACUAGCGUACU